rnacentral:rRNA from 1 species
UACAGAGGGUGCAAGCGUUGUUCGGAAUCAUUGGGCGUAAAGGGCGUGUAGGCGGUCUGUUAAGUCAUGUGUGAAAUCCCUCGGCUCAACCGGGGAACGACGCAUGAAACUGACAAGCUAGAGUACCAAAGAGGGGGGUGGAAUUCCCGGUGUAGCGGUGAAACGCGUAGAUAUCGGGAGGAACACCGGUGGCGAAGGCGGCCCCCUGGUUGGAUACUGACGCUGAGACGCGAAAGCGUGGGGAGCAAACAGG